rnacentral:rRNA from 1 species
AAUAGAUACCCUGGUAGUCCUAGCCGUAAACGAUACUCGCUAGGUGUCGGCCACGGUGCGACCGUUGUCGGUGCCGUAGGGAAGCCGUGAAGCGAGCCACCUGGGAAGUACGGCCGCAAGGCUGAAACUUAAAGGAAUUGGCGGGGGAGCACCACAACGGGUGGAGCUUGCGGUUUAAUUGGAUUCAACGCCGGAAAUCUUACCGGGACCGACAGCAAUAUGAAGGCCAGGCUGAAGACUUUGCCGGAUUAGCUGAGAGGUGGUGCAUGGCCGUCGUCAGUUCGUACUGUGAAGCAUCCUGUUAAGUCAGGCAACGAGCGAGACCCACGCCCACAGUUGCCAGCGUACUCUCUGGAGUGACGGGUACACUGUGGGGACCGCCGCUGCUAAAGCGGAGGAAGGAAUGGGCAACGGUAGGUCAGUAUGCCCCGAAUAUCCCGGGCUACACGCGAGCUACAAUGGUUGGUACAAUGGGUAUCUACCCCGAAGGGGACGGGAAUCUCCUAAAACCAAUCUUAGUUCGGAUUGAGGGCUGCAACUCGCCCUCA